CCUACGGGUGGCAGCAGUGAGGAAUAUUGGUCAAUGGACGAGAGUCUGAACCAGCCAAGUAGCGUGAAGGAUGACUGCCCUAUGGGUUGUAAACUUCUUUUAUAUGGGAAUAAAAUGUUCCACGUGUGGGAUUUUGUAUGUACCCUAUGAAUAAGGAUCGGCUAACUCCGUGCCAGCAGCCGCGGUAAUACGGAGGUUCCGAGCGUUAUCCGGAUUUAUUGGGUUUAAAGGGAGCGUAGGUGGAUUGUUAAGUCAGUUGUGAAAGUUUGCGGCUCAACCGUAAAAUUGCAGUUGAAACUGGCAGUCUUGAGUACAGUAGAGGUGGGCGGAAUUCGUGGUGUAGCGGUGAAAUGCUUAGAUAUCACGAAGAACUCCGAUUGCGAAGGCAGUUCACUGGACUGCAACUGACACUGAGGCUCGAAAGUGUGGGUAUCAAACAGGAUUAGAUACCCCAGUAGUC
rnacentral:rRNA from 1 species